GUGUGUGUGUGUAUGUGUAUAUAUAUGGUAUAUAUGAAAAUCGAAUACAAUACAAAAUAUCGAUCGAUUACGAUCAUAAACAUAAAAUUAUUGAUCAGGACAUUAUUAAAACUCGAAAAGAAGUUUCAAUAUCGUAAAAAUCAAGCUGUAAAAUUGAAAAAAAAAGUACGACACAUCCGGUGUAUUCACGAGGCUGAUUUUAUUUUCGCGAAUAUCUUUUAUGUUCCAACUUGCGAACGUGGCUUCUUGCAAAUCGUGUGUAUAUUGGAAAAAAUUUAAUUACCUGUACUUCGCGAAAACGACGGGGAGACAUGUUUCCUUGGUACGAAAUGACACAGCAAUAACGUCAUCUACAUCGUGAAGGCAGAAGUUCUAAUGGCUUUGGAAGAAGAAGCUGCAACGAAGAAAAAAUUCAUGGGAAUAAGAUGCUGCACACAUCCACACAAAUCAUGGAUCGAGUAUAAUAAUGAAGAACAUUGUCUCCGAACUGUGAAUACUACUUACCUGUGUAAAUUGAUACGCUGCGUACAUAAUAUUUUAGAAAAAUUAGUACUUUUAAUGCAAAGUUAGUUUCCUUUCGUACGCCGACGAGUGCACAUCGCAGGAUACGUUCCUCGCAAGUAAUAACGGAAAGUUAAUAAUUACAUUGUGGAGUGGGGACACUGGGCUUCGUGAGACGACAACAAAGUCGAUUUCAGUCGGUCUUCGACCGAUUUUAAUGGUUAAUGGUUCAGUCUUGCUAUGAAUUUCGACGAGUAAACAUCGCAGUUUUCAUAGUACGCAUUCUCCACAAGUAAUAACAAAGAGUUAAUUUAAAUGACGUAGUGGCAAGCAUGACACGAUACAAGCGCACCAAUUGACAGUCAAUGGUUUAAUCUUACCAUGAAUUUCCACGAGUACACAUCGUAGUAAUCGUACGCAUUCUCUGCAAAUAAUGGGGAAUAGUUAAAUGCGGUAGUGGGGAUACACUACCACUCGUGAGGCGAUAUAAGGGACCGACUGACAUUCAAUGGUUCAAUGUUUCCACGAAUUUCAACGAACACACAUGAUAGUACUCACAAUACGCAUCCUCUACUAAGAUAAAUGCGGUAGUGGGGAUACACUACCGUUCGUGAGACGAUAUAAGGGACCGACUGACAUUCAAUGGUUCAAUGUUUCCACGAAUUUCAACGAACACACAUGAUAGUACUCACAAUACGCAUCCUCUACUAAGAUAAAUGCGGUAGUGGGGAUACACUACCGUUCGUGAGACGAUAUAAGGGACCGACUGACAUUCAAUGGUUCAAUGUUUCCACGAAUUUCAACGAACACACAUGAUAGUACUCACAAUACGCAUCCUCUACUAAGAUAAAUGCGGUAGUGGGGAUACACUACCGUUCGUGAGACGAUAUAAGGGACCGACUGACAGUGAAUGGUUUAAUCUUUCCACGAAUUUCAAUGAGUGUACAUCGUAGUACUCGCAAGUUAAAUGCGGUAGUGGGGAUACACUACCACUCGUGAGACGAUAUAAGGGACCGACUGACAGUGAAUGGUUUAAUCUUUCCACGAAUUUCAACGAGCACAG